UACGUAGGGUGCGAGCGUUGUCCGGAAUUAUUGGGCGUAAAGGGCUCGUAGGCGGUUUGUCGCGUCGGGAGUGAAAUCCACUGGCUUAACUGGUGGCUUGCUUUCGAUACGGGCAGACUGGAGGUAUGUAGGGGAGACUGGAAUUCCUGGUGUAGCGGUGAAAUGCGCAGAUAUCAGGAGGAACACCGGUGGCGAAGGCGGGUCUCUGGGCCGAUAUCGACGCUGAGGAGCGAAAGCGUGGGGAGCGAACAGG
rnacentral:rRNA from 1 species